GAAUAUUGCGCAAUGGGGGAAACCCUGACGCAGCAACGCCGCGUGGAGGAUGAAGUCCUUCGGGUCGUAAACUCCUGUCAGGUGGGAAGAAUAGGUUGCAGCCACCAACUGCAACUGGUGACGGUACCACCAGAGGAAGCCCCGGCUAACUCCGUGCCAGCAGCCGCGGGAAUACGGAGGGGGCAAGCGUUAUUCGGAAUCCUUGGGCGGAAAGGGCGCGUAGGCGGCCUGGCAAGUCAAAGGUGAAAUCCCUCGGCCCAACCGAGGAACCGCCUUUGAAACUGCAAGGCUUGAGGCCGGGAGAGGGUAGCGGAAUUCCCAGUGUAGCGGUGAAAUGCGUAGAUAUUGGGAGGAACACCAGUGGCGAAGGCGGCUACCUGGACCGGUUCUGACGCUGAGGCGCGAAAGCGUGGGGAGCAAACAGG
rnacentral:rRNA from 1 species